rnacentral:rRNA from 1 species
UUCAGAUGCGAAAGCGUGGGGAGCAACCAGGAUUGAUUCCCUGGUAGUCCACGCCGUAAACGAUGUCUACUUGGAGGUUGUGGCCUUGAGCCGUGGCUUUCGGAGCUAACGCGUUAAGUAGACCGCCUGGGGAGUACGGUCGCAAGAUUAAAACUCAAAUGAAUUGACGGGGGCCCGCACAAGCGGUGGAGCAUGUGGUUUAAUUCGAUGCAACGCGAAGAACCUUACCUACUCUUGACAUCCGGAGAACUUUCCAGAGAUGGAUUGGUGCCUUCGGGAACUCUGAGACAGGUGCUGCAUGGCUGUCGUCAGCUCGUGUUGUGAAAUGAUGGGUUAAGACCCGCAACGAGCGCAACCCUUAUCCUUGUUUGCCAGCGAGUAAUGUCGGGAACUCCAGGGAGGCUGCCGGUGAUAAACCGGAGGAAGGUGGGGACGACGUCAAGUCAUCAUGGCCCUUACGAGUAGGGCUACACACGUGCUACAAUGGCGCAUACAGAGGGCAGCCAACUUGCGAAAGUGAGCGAAUCCCAAAAAGUGCGUCGUAGUCCGGAUUGGAGUCUGCAACUCGACUCCAUGAAGUCGGAAUCGCUAGUAAUCGUGGAUCAGAAUGCCACGGUGAAUACGUUCCCGGGCCUUGUACACACCGCCCA